rnacentral:rRNA from 1 species
GUAAACCUACGGGGCGCAGCAGUAGGGAAUUUUCGUCAAUGGGCGCAAGCCUGAACGAGCAAUGCCGCGUGAACGAGGAAGGCCUUCGGAUCGUAAAGUUCUGUUGAAGGGGAAAAAGAGCGGAGAGAGGAAAUGAACUCCGAUUGAUAUUACCCUUCGAGGAAGUCACGGCUAACUACGUGCCAGCAGCCGCGGUAAUACGUAGGUGGCGAGCGUUAUCCGGAAUGAUUGGGCGUAAAGGGUGCGUAGGCGGCCUGCUACGUCUGGAGUGAAAGGU